AGAAUCAACGCUGGCGGCGUGCCUAACACAUGCAAGUCGAACGAGAAAGUGGAGCAAUCCAUGAGUAAAGUGGCGACCGGGUGAGUAACACGUGACUAACCUACCUUCGAGUGGGGGAUAACCUCGGGAAACCGGGGCUAAUACCGCAUAACAUCUUUGAAGUGGAAACUUUGGAGAUCAAAGGAGCAAUUCGCUGGAAGAGGGGGUCGCGGCUGAUUAGCUAGUUGGCGGGUAACGGCCCACCAAGGCUUAGAUCGGUA
rnacentral:rRNA from 1 species